rnacentral:lncRNA from 10 species
CAAAUGCAGAACAAGGCCUGGAUUAGCUGAUCAACAGUGGGAUGGUGUGUUUCCUAAAGCCCAGGAUCUCCACCUCACCCAGGGAAAUGUUGCAGUCUUUUCUGAGUUUAUUUCUACUAUAAGAAUUGCACUAUCAUAUUUGCUAGAGGUCAAAGCAUUUCCUACUUUGGGAAGAUGGAAAAUUUGAUAAACCUAAUACACAAUGAAACUAAUUAUCAGACACAGAAGCCCAGAGGGGUGCAGAGAACAUUUUUCACGCUUUGGCCCUAGAGCCCCAUUUCCCCUUUCUAGAAGCAUCUCACUCUCAGUCCACGAGGUCUGAGUGGGACCUGUCCCCAGCCCUGGGGUGGAAUGCAUGGCUCAGGCCUACAUCAGUUAGUGCACUGCAGUCACCAGCCCCCGUGAUUGGCUCACAAGAGGGCAUGUGAUAGAAGAAGCCUCAUCAGAGCGAACCUUAGGGUUUUUGCAGAGAAGGCUGGGACAGAGAACUUUCCUACUUCCCCCACUGCACAUUAUCCUAAAGGACUUCACCCUGGAAACUUAUGGAGGUCUUCUUGAGAGAAAAGAGAAUGUUAGAAUGGAGGUAACAUAAAGGAAGAAGAGCUAAAAGAUGGAGAGAGCAAAACCAGAUCCCAAGAACACAGCCAAAGCCAGAUGUCCUCCUGGCAUCUCAGUUGUACAAGCUAAUCUGUUGUCU